ensembl:lncRNA
GACAUGUUGACUCACUGCUGCUGCUCAACUAGAAAGACUCAGGCAAACUAAGAUCUGUGUGAAUGUUACAACUUUCAGAUUCUUCUAAAAUGUAUUUUAUUUUUGUACCAUGUUGUAUAGAAUCACUGUAUGUCACUGGUUAUCUUUUAAUUGACUUGUACUGAUGUCUGUAAACUGUGACAUAAUUACACUACAAGGAAUACACUUCUUCAGCUGCUCUUUAGUUCCUGGAUAAAAACAGCACAAAGGAAUUUUCUGGAAGUAUUGGCAGAUUGGCCAUUUGGAACCUCUUAACAUUUCGGACACGACUGAAGCGACUUAGCAGCAGCAGCAGCAGCAGCAACGUUUGUCCAUGUGUCCCUUCAAGAUGUGCUCAUCCCUUUUUGGAGCCCUUCCUUUUCUUUUGGGACUACAAAAUAUCCCAGUCAUCCAUUCAUCAUUGGGACAGAGGUCACUGUUCCAGUCAGGCAACAUAGCAUCUUGCCUGGGGUUUGCAGAGAAAAGCCAGACCAGGAGGAGCAGAGUCAGCAGGACUCAACUACCAACCAUGACAGGGGAAGUGAGCAGCUUCCCCCACAGCUGUGCGUCUCGUGUUGUCUCUGUAAACCUCAAAGUUGGCAUUGGGAAAGCUUUCUUUAAGAUGACAGACUGCUCUUUUCCUUUGUCUCGCCUGUGUUUCCUGGCCCAUGUCUGCAUCAGUUUUGCCCUCAGUUUGAGGUGGUGGCGGCAUGACCCUGCCAUACAGUGGAACCACUCAGUCACCACCAAACUGUCACUCAGUUCCUGGCAGAAAAGACUUCACACCCAUAAUCCUGUAAUCUUUUCCUCCAACAAGGACUCCAUUUCACUUGAAGAGGUUGAAAUGAAUAGCUUUUGUCAUUUGGAAUUUGAGCACAUCUGGAUGAAUUUUUAGUUUAAAAAAAAAUCAGGCCAUAAAAAAAGUCAACAAUAUUCCUGUUUUGAGGACAAAUGUGAUUUAAUUAUAUCAAACAUAUGUUAGAAAGCUUGGCUCACUCUUAUUUUUCCAUCCUGCUGAAGGUGACAAAGAUAGCUGAGCUACUUCGUACUCUGCUUCAUGCUGAUCAGAUAAGGCAGGUGAUACAGACUCAGGGCUAGUUCUGGCUGCAAGGCAUUUUAAAGAUCCAACAGAAAGAAAGCAAAGAAAGCUCUAAAACAUCACUGGCAGUUUAUUUUUACUUAAACUUUAACAAAUUUAGACCUUUUUUAAAAGACAGUCUCUCCAAACCUUCCUUUGGAGACUACAAACCCAAAGCCCGAACCCAGGGAAGCUCACCCCUGAACCUCCCAUAUAAAAGAGAAACCUCAUGACUGAACUUUUUACUCAAAUUUCACAGUUCUAGAGUGAUAUGUCUAAGGAACAAAUCGGCUUCAUACCCCAGUGAAAUCUUUGGUAGAUAGAAAAUAUUCCCUGAUGGCUCAAUCAAUAAAGAAUCCACCUAUAAUGCAGGAGAUCCAGGUAUGAUCCCUCAGGCAGGAAGAUCCACUGGAUGAGGAAAUGGCAACACACUCCUGUAUUCUUGCCUGGAAAAUUCCAUGUUCAUGGGGUCCCAAAGAGUUAGACGAGACUGAACAACUAACACUUUCACUUUACUUUCACUUUUUCUCCAUUAGUGCUUCUAUAAUCAUUCACCAAAUCUAAUCAACUUUCCUUCCUAUAUGAUUGUCAUAUUUAUUUGCUCCUCUUCAUUCCCAUUUGUUCAAGGCUCUAUCAUUUCUCAACUGAGUAACUG